rnacentral:rRNA from 1 species
AUGAACGCUAGCUACAGGCUUAACACAUGCAAGUCGAGGGGCAGCAUGGUCUUAGCUUGCUAAGGCCGAUGGCGACCGGCGCACGGGUGAGUAACACGUAUCCAACCUGCCGUCUACUCUUGGACAGCCUUCUGAAAGGAAGAUUAAUACAAGAUGGCAUCAUGAGUCCGCAUGUUCACAUGAUUAAAGGUAUUCCGGUAGACGAUGGGGAUGCGUUCCAUUAGAUAGUAGGCGGGGUAACGGCCCACCUAGUCUUCGAUGGAUAGGGGUUCUGAGAGGAAGGUCCCCCACAUUGGAACUGAGACACGGUCCAAACUCCUACGGGAGGCAGCAGUGAGGAAUAUUGGUCAAUGGGCGAGAGCCUGAACCAGCCAAGUAGCGUGAAGGAUGACUGCCCUAUGGGUUGUAAACUUCUUUUAUAAAGGAAUAAAGUCGGGUAUGGAUACCCGUUUGCAUGUACUUUAUGAAUAAGGAUCGGCUAACUCCGUGCCAGCAGCCGCGGUAAUACGGAGGAUCCGAGCGUUAUCCGGAUUUAUUGGGUUUAAAGGGAGCGUAGAUGGAUGUUUAAGUCAGUUGUGAAAGUUUGCGGCUCAACCGUAAAAUUGCAGUUGAUACUGGAUAUCUUGAGUGCAGUUGAGGCAGGCGGAAUUCGUGGUGUAGCGGUGAAAUGCUUAGAUAUCACGAAGAACUCCGAUUGCGAAGGCAGCCUGCUAAGCUGCAACUGACAUUGAGGCUCGAAAGUGUGGGUAUCAAACAGGAUUAGAUACCCUGGUAGUCCACACGGUAAACGAUGAAUACUCGCUGUUUGCGAUAUACAGCAAGCGGCCAAGCGAAAGCGUUAAGUAUUCCACCUGGGGAGUACGCCGGCAACGGUGAAACUCAAAGGAAUUGACGGGGGCCCGCACAAGCGGAGGAACAUGUGGUUUAAUUCGAUGAUACGCGAGGAACCUUACCCGGGCUUAAAUUGCAGAUGAAUUACGGUGAAAGCCGUAAGCCGCAAGGCAUCUGUGAAGGUGCUGCAUGGUUGUCGUCAGCUCGUGCCGUGAGGUGUCGGCUUAAGUGCCAUAACGAGCGCAACCCUUGUUGUCAGUUACUAACAGGUUCCGCUGAGGACUCUGAUAAGACUGCCAUCGUAAGAUGUGAGGAAGGUGGGGAUGACGUCAAAUCAGCACGGCCCUUACGUCCGGGGCUACACACGUGUUACAAUGGGGGGUACAGAGGGCCGCUACCACGCGAGUGGAUGCCAAUCCCCAAAACCUCUCUCAGUUCGGACUGGAGUCUGCAACCCGACUCCACGAAGCUGGAUUCGCUAGUAAUCGCGCAUCAGCCACGGCGCGGUGAAUACGUUCCCGGGCCUUGUACACACCGCCCGUCAAGCCAUGGGAGCCGGGGGUACCUGAAGUGCGUAACCGCGAGGAGCGCCCUAGGGUAAAACUGGUGACUGGGGCU